UCUCGACCGGGGCGACAGCAAUAUGAAGGUCAGGCUGAAGACCUUACCGGAUUAGCUGAGAGGUGGUGCAUGGCGUCGUCAGUUCGUACUGUGAAGCAUCCUGUUAAGUCAGGCAACGAGCGAGACCCACGCCCACAGUUGCCAGCGUACUCUCUGGAGUGACGGGUACACUGUGGGGACCGCCGCUGCUAAAGCGGAGGAAGGAAUGGGCAACGGUAGGUCAGUAUGCCCCGAAUAUCCCGGGCUACACGCGAGCUACAAUGGUUGGUACAAUGGGUAUCUACCCCGAAAGGGGACGGGAAUCUCCUAAAACCAAUCUUAGUUCGGAUUGAGGGCUGCAACUCGCCCUCAUGAAGCUGGAAUCCGUAGUAAUCGCGUUUCAACAGAACGCGGUGAAUACGUCCCUGCUCCUU
rnacentral:rRNA from 1 species